rnacentral:rRNA from 1 species
GCUAACUACGUGCCAGCAGCCGCGGUAAUACGUAGGGUGCGAGCGUUAAUCGGAAUUACUGGGCGUAAAGCGUGCGCAGGCGGUUUUGUAAGACAGGUGUGAAAUCCCCGGGCUUAACCUGGGAACUGCGCUUGUGACUGCAAGACUCGAGUACGGCAGAGGGGGGUGGAAUUCCACGUGUAGCAGUGAAAUGCGUAGAGAUGUGGAGGAACACCGAUGGCGAAGGCAGCCCCCUGGGUCGAUACUGACGCUCAUGCACGAAAGCGUGGGGAGCAAACAGGAUUAGAUACCCCUGUAGUC